rfam:Rattus norvegicus chromosome 17, whole genome shotgun sequence.
GGGGAUUUAGCUCAGCAGUAGAGCACUUGCCUAGCAAGUGCAAGGCCCUGGGUUCAGUCCCCA